AAAGAACAAAUCGACCAGACCCAUGCCAUGGGAAUAAUAUGGGAGAAUAGUCAUUGCAUGGUAUGCACUAAUACAAUUAAAGGACAAAUAGUUGCCAGGAAAACUAACAACUAAUCAGGAUCUCUUGCAAGUUCAAUGUUAAAGAGAUUGAGUUCUAAUGAGGUCAAUGUCUCAGGCAGGUAAUUGUACAAGAUCUCUUUUUCUAAGGCAGUUGAUGUUAUCCAGAUGCACCCUCCAUCUUUCCAGUCUUGUGUUUAAGAGCUUUUCUGGAAAGCUCCCACCCUACCUGAGCAAAAUGCUCUUCUCGGCUGUUCCC